GCAAGUCGAGCGGCAGCGCGGUAGCAAUACUGGCGGCGAGCGGCGAACGGGUGAGUAAUGCUUCGGAAUCUUCCUAGUAGUGGGGAAUAACCUGGGGAAACUCAGGCUAAUACCGCAUACGAACUACGGUUGAAAGCAGGGGAUCGCAAGACCUUGCGCUAUUAGAUGAGCCGAAGUCGGAUUAGCUAGUUGGUGGGGUAAUGGCCUACCAAGGCGACGAUCCGUAGCUGGUCUGAGAGGACGACCAGCCACACUGGGACUGAGACACGGCCCAGACUCCUACGGGAGGCAGCAGUGGGGAAUAUUGGACAAUGGGGGCAACCCUGAUCCAGCGACGCCGCGUGUGUGAAGAAGGCCUGCGGGUUGUAAAGCACUUUUAGUGGGGAUGAAAAGCCGAAGGCUAAUACCUUUCGGUCUUGACCUAACCCAAAGAAAAAGCACCGGCUAACUCUGUGCCAGCAGCCGCGGUAAUACAGAGGGUGCAAGCGUUAAUCGGAAUUACUGGGCGUAAAGCGUGCGUAGUCGGUUAUCUAAGUCGGGUGUGAAAUC
rnacentral:rRNA from 1 species